CCUACGGGAGGCAGCAGUGAGGAAUAUUGGUCAAUGGACGAGAGUCUGAACCAGCCAAGUAGCGUGAAGGAUGACUGCCCUAUGGGUUGUAAACUUCUUUUAUAUGGGAAUAAAAUGUUCCACGUGUGGGAUUUUGUAUGUACCCUAUGAAUAAGGAUCGGCUAACUCCGUGCCAGCAGCCGCGGUAAUACGGAGGAUCCGAGCGUUAUCCGGAUUUAUUGGGUUUAAAGGGAUCGUAGGUGGAUUGUUAAGUCAGUUGUGAAAGUUUGCGGCUCAACCGUAAAAUUGCAGUUGAAACUGGCAGGCUUGAGUACAGUAGAGGUGGGCGGAAUUCGUGGUGUAGCGGUGAAAUGCUUAGAUAUCACGAAGAACUCCGAUUGCGAAGGCAGCUCACUGGACUGCAACUGACACUGAGGCUCGAAAGUGUGGGUAUCAAACAGGAUUAGAUACCCUAGUAGUC
rnacentral:rRNA from 1 species